GAACGCACAUUGCGCCCGCUAGCAUUCUGGCGGGCAUGCUUGUUCGAGCGUCCUCAAAAACCCUCGGGCCUGGAGACUUGUCUUCGGCGGCCCGGUGUUGGGAUGCCGCGGCUGCCGCGGCUCCUUAAAACCAGCGGCGGACCUCCCUGUGGCCCUGGCGUAGUAAUCAAUCCUCGCCUUCGGCUUCCGGGAACGCCCUGCCCCGAGAACCCAUCUCAACCAUUUGGACCUCGAAUCAAGUAGGAAUACCCGCUGAACUUA
rnacentral:misc_RNA from 1 species